UACGUAGGGUGCAAGCGUUGUCCGGAAUUAUUGGGCGUAAAGAGCUCGUAGGCGGUCUGUCGCGUCGGCUGUGAAAACGCGGGGCUCAACCCCGAGCCUGCAGUCGAUACGGGCAGACUAGAGUGCGGUAGGGGAGACUGGAAUUCCUGGUGUAGCGGUGAAAUGCGCAGAUAUCAGGAGGAACACCGGCGGCGAAGGCGGGUCUCUGGGCCGUAACUGACGCUGAGGAGCGAAAGCGUGGGGAGCGAACAGG
rnacentral:rRNA from 1 species